rnacentral:lncRNA from 1 species
UAAUUGAUGCCUCGACCGAGCAAGAGGAUUCCCGUGCUGUGCACGCACCUGAUCGGGUGGUCGUCAUUUUCUCCGCCUUGGACAGCACCAGCUGAGCUAUAGGUUGUCGGAUCUGUUGUAUGAGGCAAUAAUGAAUAAGAGCAAUAUCAGCCUUUUAAUGUGCAGGUUUAUGACUACAUUACAGAUCUUGGUGGCUGCCUGUACAUGCCAUUUCUGUAGUUCGAUUAUGCAUUACCUGCAAUUAGUCAAGUGAUUAGUUAUUACCUGUAGUAUCUGGACCUUAUUUGGUUUGGUCAAUUUAGUCAUUCACCAUCCAUUUUUCUAAAUUUAUUGGUAUUUUUAAUAUGUCAUUUGUGUCAGCAUACUAAUUUCACAUCUUGUAAUUGUUUGUCUACCAGGAAAUCAAAUUAUUAAGCUGUCUCUGUUGCAAAUGGAUAAUGAGUAAAAACUACAUUUAUGAAUAUUAUA